rnacentral:misc_RNA from 1 species
CAGAGUUGCAAACUCCCUAAACCAUUAUGAACGUUACCUAAACCGUUGCUCUUCGGCGGGCGGCCCCGGGGGUUCUCUCCCCGGGCGCCCCUGGGCCCCAUCGCGGGCGCCCGCCGGAGGUCUCCAAACUCUUGAUACUUUACUUGGCCUCUCUGUCUUCUGUACUGAAUAGUCAAAACUUCAUAGUACAUUCACAUCAGUCACA